ACGUAAUAGAUACCCGGGUAGUCCACGCCCUAAACGAUGUCUACUAGUUGUUGGUGGAGUAAAAUCCAUGAGUAAACGCAGCUAAACGCGUGAAGUAGACCGCCUGGGGAGUACGGUCGCAAGAUUAAAACUCAAAUGAAUUGACGGGGGCCCGCACAAGCGGUGGAUUAUGUGGAUUAAAUUCGAUGCAACGCGAAAAACCUUACCUGGCCUUGACAUGUAACGAACUUUCCAGAGAUGAAUUGGUGCUCGAAAGAGAACGUUAACACAGGUGCUGCAUGGCUGUCGUCAGCUCGUGUCGUGAGAUGUUGGGUUAAGUCCCGCAACGAGCGCAACCCUUGCCAUUAAUUGCCAUCAUUUAGUUGGGCACUUUAAUGGGACUGCCGGUGACAAACCGGAGGAAGGUGGGGAUGACGUCAAGUCCUCAUGGCCCUUAUGGCCAGGGCUUCACACGUAAUACAAUGGUCGGUACAGAGAGUUGCCAACCCGCGAGGGGAGCCAAUCUCAGAAAGCCGAUCGUAGUCCGGAUUGUAGUCUGCAACUC
rnacentral:rRNA from 1 species